AUUCAGCUGACAAUCCCCGAACAGGAUGAAACGCGCGUCCUGAAU
rfam:Schistosoma haematobium scaffold2786_3, whole genome shotgun sequence.